rnacentral:misc_RNA from 1 species
UUUCCGUAGGUGAACCUGCGGAAGGAUCAUUACUGAGUGAGGGCCCCUCGGGGUCCAACCUCCCACCCGUGUUUAACGAACCUUGUUGCUUCGGCGGGCCCGCCUCACGGCCGCCAGGGGGCAUCUGCCCCCGGGCCCGCGCCCGCCGAAGCCACCUGUGAACGCUGUCUGAAGUAUGCAGUCUGAGACAAUUAUUAAAUUAAUUAAAACUUUCAACAACGGAUCUCUUGGUUCCG